UACGAAGGGGGCUAGCGUUGUUCGGAUUCAUUGGGCGUAAAGGGUGCGUAGGCGGCGCGGUAAGUCGGGUGUGAAAUCUCGGGGCUUAACUCCGAAACUGCAUUCGAUACUGCCGUGCUUGAGGACUGGAGAGGAGACUGGAAUUUACGGUGUAGCGGUGAAAUGCGUAGAUAUCGAGAGGAACACCAGUGGCGAAGGCGAGUCCCUGGACAUCUCCUGACACUGAGGCACGAAAGCUAGGGGAGCAAACAGG
rnacentral:rRNA from 1 species